rnacentral:piRNA from 1 species
UGCUGAGUGUAUGGUGGCUGCUGA